UACAGAGGUCUCAAGCGUUGUUCGGAUUCAUUGGGCGUAAAGGGUGCGUAGGCGGCGCGGUAAGUCGGGUGUGAAAUCUCGGAGCUUAACUCCGAAACUGCAUUCGAUACUGGCGUGCUUGAGGACUGGAGAGGAGACUGGAAUUCAUGGUGUAGCAGUGAAAUGCGUAGAGAUCAUGAGGAAGACCAGUGGCGAAGGCGGGUCUCUGGACAGUUCCUGACACUGAGACACGAAGGCCAGGGGAGCAAAACGGG
rnacentral:rRNA from 1 species